UAUUGGUCAAUGGGCGCGAGCCUGAACCAGCCAAGUCGCGUGAGGGAUGACGGCCCUACGGGUUGUAAACCUCUUUUGUCGGGGAGCAAAUUCCGUUACGUGUAACGGAGUCGAGAGUACCCGAAGAAAAAGCAUCGGCUAACUCCGUGCCAGCAGCCGCGGUAAUACGGAGGAUGCGAGCGUUAUCCGGAUUUAUUGGGUUUAAAGGGUGCGUAGGCGGAGUGUCAAGUCAGCGGUAAAAUUUCGGGGCUCAACCCCGUCGUGCCGUUGAAACUGACGCCCUUGAGUGAGUGAGAAGUAAGCGGAAUGCGUGGUGUAGCGGUGAAAUGCAUAGAUAUCACGCAGAACGCCGAUUGCGAAGGCAGCUUGCCGGCGCUCAACUGACGCUGAGGCACGAAAGUGCGGGUAUCG
rnacentral:rRNA from 1 species